UAUUAUUUAUUUAUAUCCGCACUUUAUUCUUGUAACCGCAUUUUUAGUAUAGCCGCAUAAUUUUACUUUAUUGUUACUGCAUUUAUAGUAUAACCGCGUAUGUAUAUUUUUUUCUGUAACUGCAUCUUAAAUUUUUAAUUGCUCCACCUCGCGACCCUCUCUUUUGUUAGUUAGCCUAUUUAGGCUGAUUAUUCCUGCGUGUUGAAAGGCAUUGCCUUUCAAGGCGGGGGAUGCUGUUUGGGCCAUUUUCGCUGUUUCCUUCCGGUUGGCGGAAAUGCUUAUGACGUACGAGGAAGCACGACCCUUGUUGUUGUCUAUGCUCGUGCGCGCAUCGGCCGUGCCCUUUAAUCGACCGAUAUUGUGCGACGUGGGUGGACGUAAUCUGUUUUUAUAAUAACCGCUAAGGUGUGACCAUAAGUUCGCGUGUGACCUUAGUACGGCCGCUGAAUUAUUUUUACCGCUGCAGCAGAGCUUAGCACUGGUGCACCCGAUCCUUGUGAAUUCCCAGGCGCCUGGAAUGCGCAGAGAAGAAGACACACAGAUAACCAAUGGAAGGUCGUAUGCGCCGCCGAGCUCGAUCGCUCCCGACGCGAGGCGACUCCUGAAGCUGAACCCUCGUCCACACGCGUGACUGACGUGAGAAUAUAACCAAAUCUAGCGAAGGACAGACGCAGUUGGUUCGUCUGCACCGAUCUCAAAAAACAUUCUGCUGAUGCACUUAGUUUGUAAUAAAUGAAGGUAAAUUUUAAACUAAGCAAUAAUUGCAGAAUAAGUUUGUGGGUUUAAGUUAUGUUAUUCGUAUUGUCGCGAGAGCUUAGUUUAAUAAAUAUGUGAAGUUUU